GUGCUUGCUUCGGCAGCACAUAUACUAAAAUUUGAACGAUACAGAGAUUAGCAUGGCCCUUGCGAAAGGAUGACAAAUGUUUUUUUUUAAAUAUUAAAUUUUA